rnacentral:lncRNA from 1 species
CACAGUCCAGGGACAGAGUAGAUCCUGGCUACUCAAAGUGUGGCCUGAGGACUCGCAGCUUUGAUGUUACUUGGUGCUUACACAGAAUCUCUGCUCCCACUGCAGAAACACGGGAUCCAAAUCCACCAUUUAACAAGACCCACAGGUGAUGCUACCAACUGAACCAGAUCUGCGUACUAAAGUUUGAGGUUUCCUAUACAGAAGCCACCUCUAACCUCUUCAGCCCAAGUCCUUCCAUUUGAAGAUGUCAGUGAGGAACCCGGAUGAGAGUGAGGUCAGCAGAAUUGGCUGGAAAGAGAGCUGAUGAUCAUCGUGUUGGGAAGGUGUCAUUUCUGUAUCCCAACAGACCUCUCUUCUGUCUGUCCUUGUCUUCGUUAAAUCCUCUCUUGGAAGCUCUUCCUCCCUACUCUCCCUCAUUCAGGGGCUUGAUCCACAUCCUGCUGAGACUUGCUCUUUCAUCUUUCUCCGAAAAUAAAAAAAAAAUGUCUUUUCUUGGCAUUUUCAAGGUGGAGGGAUGUUCAAGGAAUGGAUAUGGCCUCCCAGCAGCUGGAUGUGGGUAGAGUGGUAGAGCUUUUAAAGCUGAAGUGGUCAUUCCGGGGGGUCAAGAGCCGAUUGCAGCUCUAAGUGGUUGUUUUGGGGGUGCAGGUUGCCAUGGUGAUAGGGGAACUGAAAACAGAUUGAAUAAGAUGUUAAAAUAGUCCAGGGGGGGAAAAAACCACAAUAGAUAUUCCUUGAAUUGUGGGUGCUGAAGUCAUAGCCUGCCUCACAGGGCUGG